rnacentral:lncRNA from 1 species
CCCCCUGAAUCAAGAUUCCAGUCCAUUUUUCUGAAUUUUCUCCUUGCAGAUAGUGUAAAAGCACACCAACGAUUUCCCAAGGUUGCUAAACAUGUAUUCUUACAGUGCUGAGAGAAAACCACUGUAAAGCUGCAACCAUCAACCCCACCCAUUUUACUCCAUUUCCACUAUAGAUCUUCCCCAAACCUUGAUCUUUUCGACUAUCUCACAAGCAAAACGAAAAAUGAAAAGAUAAAUAGGGACAAAAACAAGCGAAAACCACCAUAAAGCUGCAACCAUCAACCCCACCCAUUUGACUCCAUUUCCACUAUAGAUCUUCCCAAAACCUCGAUCUUUUCGACUAUCUCACAAGCAAAAUGAAAAAUGGAAAGAUAAAUAGGGACAAAAACAAGCGAACUAAAAGC